ACUCAAAUGAAUUGACGGGGGCCCGCACAAGCGGUGGAGCAUGUGGCUCAAUUCGAUGCAACGCGAAGAACCUUACCUGGCCUUGACAUGCACUAGACCGACGCUGAAAGGCGUCUUCCCUUCGGGGCUGGUGCACAGGUGCUGCAUGGCUGUCGUCAGCUCGUGUCGUGAGAUGUUGCGUUAAGUCGCGCAACGAGCGCAACCCCUGUCCUUAGUUGCCAUCAUUAAGUUGGGCACUCUAAGGAGACAAACCCUCUUUGAGGGUGGGAAGGUGGGGAUGACGUCAAGUCAGGAUGGCCCUUACGGCCAGGGCUGCACACGUGCUACAAUGCACGAUACAGAGGGAAGCAACUCCGCGAGGGGAAGCAAAUCCCGAAAAUCGUGCCCAGUUCAGAUUGUAGUCUGCAACUCGACUACAUGAAGUUGGAAUCGCUAGUAAUGGCGCAUCAGCUACGGCGCCGUGAAUACGUUCCCGGGCCUUGCACACACCGCCCGU
rnacentral:rRNA from 1 species